ACAAGUCACAGUGCUGGAGGUGGUAUGCCCUGCUUAAAUGACAACAGCACCUUUUCCUGCCAAGUGUGUAUCCAAGCUUCCUAUCAACCCAGCCUGGAGCCGAGAGCACACAAGUCAGGGUAAGCGAGGCCCUGUGGACCUGGGGAAGGAGAAGCAGGAAGAGCUGUGCUCCCCCGGGAGAUGGAGAAGCUGGACA